rnacentral:lncRNA from 10 species
UGAUGGACCAUUUGGAUUGUGCAACAAAUGAAGAAAACCCUGUGAUAUCUGGUGAACAGAUUGUCCAGCAAUAAUAUUAUGUGGAACUGCUAUAAUGUGUCAUUGAUUUUCUACAAAUAGACUUCGACUUUUUAAAUUGACUUUUGAAUUGACAAUCUGAAAGAGUCUUCAAUGAUAUGCUUGCAAAAAUAUAUUUUUAUGAGCUGGUACUGACAGUUACAUCAUAAAUAACUAAAACGCUUUGCUUUUAAUGUUAAAGUUGUGCCUUCACAUUAAAUAAAACAUAUGGUCUGUGUAGUUUCCGAGAUGUACUAUAUACAGUAUAUUUUUCUAAAAAAAAAGGCGUGAGCCACCGCGCCCGGCCAUAUCUCAGUUUUCUAAUCUGUAAAAUGAGUAGGUUAGACCAGCUAAUCACUCUGGUACCUUCCAACUUGAAAAAAGUUUUUUCCCCAUUCUUUGGUAAAUUUUAGAUGUGGCCUGAACAUUCUCCUGGAAGUCAGAGGUCAAAUUAUCUUUCCAUUUUCUUUUAUUUUAGUAAGAAUUUCGCAAAUGACAAGUGAUAACAAAGGCAGCAGGAUUUUUCAUUUCUCUGUAAAUAAUGUAUAAAAUAUGUGAACAGAACUAUAUCUUUCAUCUAAGGCCAGUUCAAUUUAUUAAAAAUAAAACUAAUGCCUUUUAAAAUUGAUCAGACCUUUGAUACUUGAACUAAAUUUUGCAUUAGAGACUUUUUAAAAAUUGUUCGCUUUUGCUGAAUAAAUUGCAAAUAGAGAAGCUUCAUUGACAGUCAGUCCCUCUCUGCUUAAUGCAGUUAUGGGUCCUUUCGUUUAUGGCAAAUGACUUACCUGACAAGAGUUAAUUUUGCCUCCAUUGUAUCAAGUUUGAAUAUUUUCCAAGAAAUCUGAUUUAUUUGGCAGACUCUGAGAGAGAGAACAGAUUAAGUGCCGUUUUAAAACUCUGUAUUUUCAUUUAUAAUAAU